UACGGAGGGUGCAAGCGUUAUCCGGAUUCACUGGGUUUAAAGGGUGCGUAGGCGGGUUGGUAAGUCCGUGGUGAAAUCCCCAAGCUUAACUUGGGAACUGCCGUGGAUACUAUCAAUCUUGAAUAUCGUGGAGGUAAGCGGAAUAUGUCAUGUAGCGGUGAAAUGCUUAGAUAUGACAUAGAACACCAAUUGCGUAGGCAGCUUACUACACGAUCAUUGACGCUGAGGCACGAAAGCGUGGGGAACAAACAGG
rnacentral:rRNA from 1 species